UUUUAGUAGAGACAGGGUUUCACCGUGAUAGCCAGGAUGGUCUCGAUCUCCUGACCUUGUGAUCCGCCUGCCUCGGCCUCCCAAAGUGCUGGGAUUACAGGCGUCAGCCACCACACCCGGCCAGAAGACUAAUAAGUUUAAGCCUAAAAAAAUGUAAGCCUCAGGAGACCUCAUUGGUACCAACCAGAAAUACAGAUCCUGAGCUGUGCUGCUGGAAUGGGCUCUGAUGGAAACCUGGCUGGUGGUGGAUGGGUCCCUCAUGAGCAUGGAGAAGGCAAUGAAGCAACUGGAAGUGCAGAGAACUGAGAAGGAGCGAGCUUUUGCCUGCAGAUUUCGAUGGGCAUUUUUGACUGUGCUACAAGAAGUACACACCCAGUUCCUGAAGGAUGCAGUGCAGAUGAGGAAGUAGAGGUGCAGAGACCAGGGAAAAAGGUCAAGAUCUCAAUGCUAACAUCUUUAGCACACUGAGCAGCUGGAGAAUGGUCACAUACCGCAGCAUCUCCCUUCACCGCCCCCUCCUGCCUGGCUCUGGAGUGAGCAUCACACCUGUGGUGCCUAUCAGCCCUGGGGGGACAGACUGCUGCUGCUUGUCGCCGAGUUCAGAAACCUCAGAGAAGCAUGUCGUCUCCGCUGGCAAAGCUCCCACCAGUACCCCGGAGCCCCAGCACGCUGAGAAGCAGAGGUCUCUGUGUCAGCAAGGUGGGAGAUGUGCUCCAGGCCCUCACCUCUGAUUCUCUUUUCCUUAGAAACUGUUAGAAAGAAAGCUUAGCAUCUAUCAGUCUCUUAAGAUCAUCGUUCACCUGGAUUUUGUCUACACAGCCAUUUGGUAUCUGGACUGGAUAACGAACCACCAUCUGUAACUCAAUUUGUAUGGGGAAAGUGUGUUUGGCACUCCAAACAUCUAAUUUACUAAGCACCAUUUGCAGCACGGCCUGUGUGUGUUAAGUGGAUUCCUGCCAGGGUAUGUGGACUGAGAUGAAUCAGGAAUCAGGAGCCUCAAAAUGAAAAGUGGAUUGGAUUCCUAAAUAUGGCUGUGGCUAUGCACAGGAACAGAUUUAGAGAAGUUAAACCCAUAGAUGGUUGAAUUCAGUAGAAAAAAAAAAAAACUAGCAAUUUGACGUGAUUCAACUAUUUCCUCACUCACUCACUCUGCUGGAACCAAAGUGGUUUAUCCUUUCUUUUAUCUAAUACUCCAAGAUAUCCUCAUAUAGAAAUGUAAAUCAGGCCACCACUGAGUGGGAAUGCAUCCCCAGAAAUGCUCCUGCACAGUGAGUGUUGAGUAAGGGAACAGCAGUUCAAUGUCCCUCCUGUUACCACACAGAAAUUUCUUUAAGAACUGGCUGAGAAAAUAUCUGUUUGACAUGACGUUAAAUCCUUUAAACCAGCAUGCUAUGCUAGACCACUAUUAUUCCUCUUUUUUUAUUUUGAGAUGGAGUUUCUCUCUUGUCCCCCAGGCUGGAGUGCAAUGGCGUGAUCUUGGCUCACCUCGACCUCCGCCUCCCAGGUUCAAGCAAUUCUCCUGCCUGAGCCUCCUGAGCAGCUGGGAUUACAGGCGUCCACCACCACGCCAGGCUAUUUUUUUUUUUUUUUUUUUUUGUAUUUUUAUUAGAGACAGGGUUUCACCACAUUGGCCAGGCUGGUCUCAAACUCCUAACCUCAGGUGAUCUGCCUGCCUCGGCCUCCCAAAGUGCUGGGAUUACAGGCAUGAGCCACUGCACCGGGCCUUUUUUUCUGGAAUAGUAGAGCAAACAACUUGAAGGAUACAUGUUUUGUGGGAUUCAUCUGGGGUUUAUUUCUUUGUAACUUGCCAAUUUCUUGUAACUGGCCAAAUCUUUGGAAGGAGAUUAGAAAUACAAAGAAACAAUACAGGAAAAAUAGCAAUUUUCUGUAGCUUUCCCAAAGGGACUGAGAAGUAAGAGCUGAUCAAAUAGGUACAGAUCAAAGAGGCUCAAACCAGAGGGGAACCAAAGAGAAUAUGAUUUGCAUAGGUGAUGGUGCCACAGAUGGCCAGGGGUCAUGUUCCUUACUGGCUGUUUGGGCUUGGGCAAGACAAUGAAAAUAUUUAAGUCUCAUUUUCUUUCCCUGUAAAUGGGGAGAAUAAUAACAAAUGAUAUCUGCUGCUAUUGUUAUUUGGCCAAAAUAAUUAUCCUAGGCUUGAAAUGGUACUGAUGAAAAGAAAGUGUAUAUAAGAUCUAGUAGUUGAUAGCACAACAGAGUGACUAUAGUCAAUAAUAAUUUAAUCGUACAUUUAAAAAUAAUUAAAAGAGUAGAACUGGAUUUUUCAUAACACAAAGGAUAAAUGUUUGAGGUGAUGGAUACCCCAUUUACCCUGAUGUAAUUAUUGCACAUUAUGUGCCUGUAUCAAAAUAUCCCAUAUCCCCCAUAAAUGUAUAUACUUGCU
rnacentral:lncRNA from 10 species